rnacentral:rRNA from 1 species
GACGAACGCUGGCGGCGUGCUUAACACAUGCAAGUCGAGCGGAAAGGCUCCUUCGGGGGUACUCGAGCGGCGAACGGGUGAGUAACACGUGAGUAAUCUGCCCUGGACUCUGGGAUAGCCACCGGAAACGGUGAUUAAUACCGGAUAUGACCAGCUUCCGCAUGGUGGUUGGUGGAAAGUUUUUUCGGUCCAGGAUGUGCUCGCGGCCUAUCAGCUUGUUGGUGAGGUAAUGGCUCACCAAGGCUUUGACGGGUAGCCGGCCUGAGAGGGUGACCGGUCACACUGGGACUGAGACACGGCCCAGACUCCUACGGGAGGCAGCAGUGGGGAAUAUUGGACAAUGGGCGGAAGCCUGAUCCAGCAACGCCGCGUGAGGGAUGACGGCCUUCGGGUUGUAAACCUCUCUCAGUACCGACGAAGCGAAAGUGACGGUAGGUACAGAAGAAGGACCGGCCAACUACGUGCCAGCAGCCGCGGUAAUAC